rnacentral:rRNA from 1 species
GCUGGAAUUGCUAGUAAUGGCAGGUCAGCAUACUGCCGUGAAUACGUUCCCGGGCCUUGUACACACCGCCCGUCACACCAUGAGAGUUGGGGAUACCCGAAGCCUGUGAGCUAACAUUAUGAGGCAGCAGUCGAAGGUAGAAUCAAUGAUUGGGGUGAAGUCGUAACAAGGUAAC